rnacentral:rRNA from 1 species
GAUUUCUGACGAACCGGAUUGGCCCGUUCUCUUUGCGGGACUGAGUGCCGCUUUGAGUUUGUCAUCCUUCCAGAGAGCUGCGUCUACCGUUUACUCGGCCGGAUGUAUGCGAUCUGGAUCUAUUACUUUGAAAAAAUUAGAGUGUUUAAAGCAGGCUUAUGCUAUGAAUACAUUAGCAUGGAAUAAUAAUUUAGGACUUUGGUUCUAUUUUGUUGGUUUCUAGGACUGAAGCAAUGAUUGAUAGGGAUAGUUGGGGGUGCUAGUAUUCAGCGGCCAGAGGUGAAAUUCUCGGAUUCGCUGAAGACUAACUUAUGCGAAAGCAUU